AUGGCGGCGGCGCUGAUGGGAACGAGGUCGUCGCACUCCCGUCGUAGGGCAUCCAUACUGGGCGGCGGAGCUGACCGGCGGUGGCUGCAGCGGCUGCUGCGCUGUCACGCCGGGCAGCGGCAACGGCUGCUGCGUCGGAGCGCCGGGCGCGGCGGAGGCCGCCAGGAGCGGCGGCUGCCACUGCAGCCAGGGCUGGGCGGUGGUGGCGAUGGAUGGCAGCUGCAGCGGCCUGGCGAGCGCGGCGAAGGCAGCUUGGUGCGGCGGCUGCCACGGCGGCGCGGGGGUGGCGAUGGGCGGCGCACCGGGUGCGGCCCGUAG
rnacentral:rRNA from 1 species